CCGCGGACACAGCCGCGCCCAAAAAAAACUGCCCGAAGGCCGGGGCGGCAAGUUCGUCCAGCGGAAGAAGCCCACCAAAACGGGUGGGCUAUAGUCUUGGGGGGUGGGGCUGCCCAACUUCGUCCGUCGGACUCGGAAUGGCGCGAGACUUUGCGAGGCGCAUCCGUGUGCCAAAAAUAGGCCACGGGCACCGCCGCGCCCAAAAAUAACCGCCCAAAGGCCAGGACGCCAAGUUCGUCCAGCGGAAAAAGCCCACAAAAACGGGUGGGCUAUAGCCUUGGGGGGUGGGGCUGGCCAACUUCGUCCGCCGGACUCGGAAUGGCGCGAGACUUUGCGAGACACCUCCGUGUACCAAAAAUAGGCCACGGGCACAGCCGCGCCCAAAAAUAACUGCCCGAAGGCCGGGGCGCCAAGUUCGUCCAGCGGAAAAAGGCCACAAAAACGGGUGGGCUAUAGCCUUGGGGGGUGGGGCUGGCCAACUUCGUCCACCGGACUCGGAAUGGCGCGAGACAUUGCGAGCCACCUCCGUGUGCCAAAAAAUAGGCCACGGGGCACAGUCGCGUCCCAAAAUAACCACCCCAAGGCCGGAGCGCCAAGUUCGUCCAGCGGAAAAACCCCGC
rnacentral:lncRNA from 1 species